GAUUAACGCUAGCGGCAGGCCUAAUACAUGCAAGUCGAACGGCAGCACGGGUAGCAAUACCUGGUGGCGAGUGGCGCACGGGUGCGUAACGCGUAUGCAAUCUACCUGUAACUGGGGAAUAGCCUUCCGAAAGGAAGAUUAAUACCGCAUAAUAUCACGAGACGGCAUCGUUUUGUGAUCAAAUCUCCGGAGGUUACAGAUGAGCAUGCGUGACAUUAGCUAGUUGGUGAGGUAACGGCUCACCAAGGCUACGAUGUCUAGGGGGUCUGAGAGGAUGAUCCCCC
rnacentral:rRNA from 1 species